CCCUUAGAUGUUCUGGUCCGCACGCGUGCUACACUGAGUGGAUCAGCGGGUCAGGUUGCGCGAAAGCGUUUCCUAAUCUUUAAAUCCGCUCGUGAUGGGGAUUGACGGUUGCAAUUUUCUGUCAUGAACGAGGAAUACCUUGUAAGCGCGGGUCAUCAUCCCGCGCUGAAUACGUCCCUGCCCUUUGUACACACCGCCCGUCGCUCCUACCGAUUGAGUGGUCCGGUGAGGCUUUGGGAUCUGAGCGGAAAGAGCGUUUCGCUGUUUCUGCUCGGAAAACUCAGUCGAACCUUAUCAUUUAGAGGAAGGAGAAGUCGUAACA
rnacentral:rRNA from 1 species